rnacentral:rRNA from 2 species
CAGCCGCCGCGGUAAAACCAGCACCUCAAGUGGUCAGGAUGAUUAUUGGGCCUAAAGCAUCCGUAGCCGGCUCUGUAAGUUUUCGGUUAAAUCUGUACGCUCAACGUACAGGCUGCCGGGAAUACUGCAGAGCUAGGGAGUGGGAGAGGUAGACGGUACUCGGUAGGAAGGGGUAAAAUCCUUUGAUCUAUUGAUGACCACCUGUGGCGAAGGCGGUCUACCAGAACACGUCCGACGGUGAGGGAUGAAAGCUGGGGGAGCAAACCGGAUUAGAUACCCGGGUAGUCCCAGCUGUAAACUAUGCAAACUCGGUGAUGCAUUGGCUUGAUGCCAAUGCAGUGCCGCAGGGAAGCCGUUAAGUUUGCCGCCUGGGAAGUACGUACGCAAGUAUGAAACUUAAAGGAAUUGGCGGGGGAGCAC